AAGGAAGUUCUUUAUACAACACCUCAUGGUUCCAAUGAUGAUUGGUAUUGGCUAUAUGCUGCUGUAAAACUGAGGUGCUUGCUUGUUACUAAUGAUGAGAUGCGAGAUCAUAUUUUUGAACUUCUGGGAAGCAACUUCUUUCUCAGGUGGAAAGAGAGACAUCAAGUUCGAUAUACCUUUUUGAAAGGGAACCUAAAACUUCAAAUGCCAGGACCAUUUUCUGUAGUCAUCCAGGAGUCAGACAAAGGAGCAUGGCAUGUGCCUAUAUCAGGUGAUGGAAAUGAGGAUUCUACACAGGGUUGGCUCUGCAUUACCAGGCCAAGUGCUUGUGGUGCACUUGGCGAAGAUGCAGUGAGCAUGGAAACUUCUGAGAAUGGUCAUGGUGUUUGCAAUGGUAGCAAGUUGUUGAGCCCUUGCAAACAAAAAUGUAUUACAAGUUGCAAUAAUGAACCUGAAAGCCAAGAUUCUGACAAUAAACCUGCAACUAUGGCAGGGAAAAGGAAAAAAAGAUCCCCAUCUCCUUCCUAGUUGUAUCUUCCUCGAACUUUAUGUCAUUUACAAAAGGUCUUUGAGCAUCUCCUGUUGAACUUAUUAAGUUCACAAGGAGAAAAAUCAGUGUUUGAACUUCCAGGUUUCAAAUUCAAAAUCUUGGGCAGAUGAUGAGGAAGAGUCUUGUUGUGUAAUACAAAGCACUAGGCUUUAAAGAGAGAGACAAAAAAAAAAAAAAAAAAAGAAUUGUGGG
rnacentral:misc_RNA from 1 species